AAAGCGGGCGCGAAAGCGCGAUCGUGGAACGAUGAAGCCCAACUUGCUGGGUGGAUUAGUGGCGAACGGGUGAGUAACACGUGAGUAACCUGCCCUUAACUCUGGGAUAAGCCUGGGAAACUGGGUCUAAUACCGGAUAGGAGCGCCUACCGCAUGGUGGGUGUUGGAAAGAUUUAUCGGUUUUGGAUGGACUCGCGGCCUAUCAGCUUGUUGGUGAGGUAAUGGCUCACCAAGGCGACGACGGGUAGCCGGCCUGAGAGGGUGACCGGCCACACUGGGACUGAGACACGGCCCAGACUCCUACGGGAGGCAGCAGUGGGGAAUAUUGCACAAUGGGCGCAAGCCUGAUGCAGCGACGCCGCGUGAGGGAUGACGGCCUU
rnacentral:rRNA from 1 species